ACUCAAAGGAAUAGACGGGGGCCCGCACAAGCGGUGGAGCAUGUGGUUUAAUUCGACGCAACGCGCAGAACCUUACCAGCCCUUGACAUGUCUAGGACCGGUCGCAGAGAUGUGACCUUCUCUUCGGAGCCUAGAGCACAGGUGCUGCAUGGCUGUCGUCAGCUCGUGUCGUGAGAUGUUGGGUUAAGUCCCGCAACGAGCGCAACCCCCGUCCUUAGUUGCUACCAUUUAGUUGAGCACUCUAAGGAGACUGCCGGUGAUAAGCCGCGAGGAAGGUGGGGAUGACGUCAAGUCCUCAUGGCCCUUACGGGCUGGGCUACACACGUGCUACAAUGGCGGUGACAAUGGGAUGCAAAGGUGCGAGCCCUAGCAAAUCUCAAAAAGCCGUCUCAGUUCGGAUUGGACUCUGCAACUCGAGUCCAUGAAGUUGGAAUCGCUAGUAAUCGUGGAUCAGCAUGCCACGGUGAAUACGUUCCCGGGCCUUGCACACACCGCCCGU
rnacentral:rRNA from 1 species